AAUCUGCCAACAAUUAAAUUCCCUAUAAUGAAUUAACACUUGGGAUGAUUUUAGGAAGCAGUCUGUAUGCUGGCCUUGAACACGAAUCAACAUCAUCAGGAAGGGAUGUCAGCUCAUUCUCCAAUAUAGAAUAGGCCUCUGAAAAUGCCUUGAUACAUUGAUGUAUCCUAAAGCAGUUUCUCCCCACAUUAUUCGUUGGAAAAAGAGGAUCAUCGAUGUGUAUUGGAUCAAUACUACAACACAAAGUGUUAAAACAUCGAAAAAAUUAACAGGAUCAUUUGUAGAUUCUAACAAAAGAGUCCAUGCUAUUUUUACCUAUAACCUCUUUCCCUGUUUACAUAUACUCCACUUCCCUGAACUGAGAUACGCAUUUGGCGAGGAUCAAACACAUUUCCAAAGAAGUAAAGAAAAUCCAUCAGAAGGCUUCCCCAGUUUUGAUUAAUAGGACGCCCAAGAUGAUGCUCAUGCUGCAGAAAACGUGUAAUUAGUAGCACCAAGCAAUAGGAACUUAAGCCACCAGAGUAGGAUUGAUCAAGGCUACGAUCUGCCAAGAAUUGUUUUAGUACCAAAGCUAGAGGUGUUGCGGCUGGAAAUUGCUCAGUAAGCUCUUUUACCAGUUCUGUAGUUCGGAGCCCAGUAUGUGAUGGAGACUUAAAGCUGAUGUCCAGACGAAUUGAUUUCACAUCCUUCGUACUAUCAUCAUUAAUUUGUGAGCACUUUGGUGAAAUCGAGUCUUCUGAACCAACUGUAUCACAGUGAACAUGGUUUUCAUGUUCACCAGUCAUACGAGAAGACACCUCCUUCGGUGAUUGUACAUUAGAAGUGCCAGAGUUAAUCAGAUCAUUAGGAACCUCCACCACAAGCAUAAUAAUAGGUAUAGCUGUAUUUUCCACAGUCUUCAAUGAAUCAUUUUUCACCCACUCUUGGUUUGCAAGAUACCUUGCAGCAUGCUGAAGGCAUGUUUCUUUAAUACCGUUACGGCCCUCUAAAAUCCCAGCCUCCUUGAUAGGCUCCAAGUUCCUCACAGGAGGAAGACAAACCACAAGGUCAACAUCACUUGUUGGAAGGGACAAACCAGUUGCAUUUGAUCCAAAGAUGUUUGUUCUAGACCUGGGCCAUAGGACUUGGAGAGACCUGGUAACCCGCUUGACAGCCCAAUUAAUAAAAGGCUUCUUCUCCAUAUUUUCUGCAGCAACCUGCUUGCAGAAAAAGUCAAUUUCAUCAUGGAGGAGGCUGUGCAUCAAAGAAAGAGAUGCCUUUCGUGCUGGACAGUUCUGCAACUCAGGUGGUUGAAGUGGAAAUGAUACAUCUGGAUGUUCCUGGUCACGUCCAAGUUGGGACAUAGCAAUCAGACGAUCUUGCAGCAAACCUCCAGGGAGAGGCUGAAUCAUUGGGCGAGUAGAAAGAUUUUUAUUCCUCCAAGAAGGCCAAACAACUUCAGCACCAUCCAUACGUACACAAGCUUCCUCCAAGUUACUUCCUUCAUGGUACCAACCUCUCAUACCCCAAUGUCUUGGGCUGGAGCUACCAGAUCUAACAGUAGGGAAACCCCGGUGUUUUCUAGAGUCACUCACAGGCGAGGGAGGUGGUGGACGCGGAGCCCGUGGAACACAAAGCACUACAGGUGAUGGUGGUCUCUUUAUCCGAGGUUGUUCCCUCCUAGAAGGAGGAACACAUGGACUUUUAUGAUCAUGACUACGCUUAAAAUCAGAUCUCGAUCUUUCCCUUGACAUAGUUGGAAUGAUGAUAGGAGGCAAUAUGGGGUAAGGAAGUGAAUCUCCUGCCUUCCCUUCAACAUCACCUGACAAAUUGGCCAAAGAUCCUGCAACCUCCUCUGUAGCUGUGUCCGUCGCUGUUGAUGAAGAAUGCAGGACCUUGCCAGGUACUUCAUUUCCGGAUACAACAUAACCAAGUGCCUGGUGUCCAGGGCCCAAAGGAUCAAAAGGAGAACAAAAAGAAGCAGCAGUUGGUGAAGUCAAACCAUUAGUACUAUAAGAAGAAGAGAAGGCAACCAUGUCAUCAACUGCCCUAUUAAUGUCAGCUUCAUGCCAAGCCCAUGUGCUAUCAUCAGAACUAAGGGAAAGAGGUCGAGAGAAACCUGUCCCUGGAUGAUCAGAAGGAUUCCAAUACAUCACACCACCACCAAAGUACUGAUUAUAAUCUAUACCAGAAACCGCAUGCACUUCCAUUUCUUCCUCUGAUAUCCAGUGGCUUUCAUAUUCAUCCAUCACUUCCUGUGCAUUUGCUAAUUCAGGCAUGUCUAUAAAAUCCCCUGAAUACUUUCUCUCAUCAUCAGCAGUCUCUGCAUUAAUCGGCAUAUUAUGAGUGAAACUCUGGUGCUGAAACACAGGCUGGCCUCUUGAUAUAAAUCCAGAAUCAUAAUUACAUGUCAUGGAUGGUGCUAAUCCGCAAGUGCUCCUAACCACUGGGGGCCAGUCUAAACUCAUUGGCAAUGGUCGAGAUAAAGUUCGGUUGUGCCCACUAUCAAUGGGAGAAUUUCUUGCCUGAUGCACUGUGGGAACAAAAGGUUGGCGAAUGUGAUUAUGCCAAUUGCGACCAACAUCCAGAUGCAAUCUAUCAGUGGCAGGAGGAAGAUGUGAAUUAAUAGAUGGAAAAUAGACAGGAGUUAAACUAGGCCACUCAUAUGAAAUGCAUUCUGAAGGAUCUGUGAGCCUGGCAUCACUAAAAUUUUUAUUAUGUCCCUGUAUUAGGGUAGAUUCUUCUUUUACACUAAGAGUUCCAACUGACUUGUCAGCAAGAUUUGAUUUUGCCUUGGUUUUUUCAUUCUGAAAAUUGAUGUCUUCAUUGCUAGAAAAAGUGUCAUGCUCCAGCACAGGCACUAAAUUAGAUGUUAGAUUAUUGUCCAUGUUAAAGUUUACCAUUUCUACUCUGGAAGGUAUAGUUUCAUCCUCAAUCAGACUGUUUGAGGACUGCUGAUGCUCUGAACCUAUACUGCAGAUUCCUCCUUUGCACUCAACAACACAAUCUUCUUGAAUGCUUUGGGCAACAACACCCUCCUUAGUGGACACAUUAGCAGAACUACUGAGCCUCAUAUUUAAUCCAACGGUUACAUCACCAACUAAAUUAUCAUUUGAUGCAUUCUGGAUGGAUGAACUAUCAGAUAUUCUGCCAUGCUUUGCUGCCUCAUCCGAUGAGAUAAAAGCCAAGCAGGGAGCUUUUGCCACUGAUCUUUCAGAAUUUCUCACUUCAACCAGAUUGUUUAGGCUAGAGUUUUUAUUUCUAUUUUUUCCUUUCUUGUUCUUCCUCGUAGCAGUUCGCCCUUUUCCAAGAACCAAUCCUUGGGAGUGUUCCAUUUCAACUGCUGAGGACAAUAUGUCUCCUUGUAUUUCCUUCCCAUGAGUUAUAUUGGAUGUCUCAUUGAACUCCACUGAAUCCAACUUCUCAGAAUAAGCCGGUGCACAUUCGGGAUCCUUGAGAGAUUUGUUGGAAGAGGAUUCUUUUGCACCUGUCCCAGGGGCAGGAUUUAGCUUUUUCAUGUUAUGAGUCUUCCCUUUUUUCUUACGGCUACCUGAAUUAAGCCUUUCCUUUGGUUUAUUGGUUAAACACUUGAAAUUUCCCUCCCCAAGAAGUUCAAGCUUUGUGCAAUCAAGUGAAAUAAGCAUAACAAGUCCCCGUAGUUUUCUCAAUACGUAAUCAGCAAUGCUACUGACAGAGCCCAAAGUGCUAAAAAAUACCUUUGACAUAUCAUACUCACUAUGCUGACCUGGUAAUAUCAAAGUAAUAACAUCCUGAAGAACGAAUAAACUAUUAAACAGAUUGACCAAAGAAGUAUCUUUCCCAGAGGGCGAAGUACACGUAAUUGGUGAACCAAACUCUGCAUCAACUGAGAGUUUUUGGAUAGUUUGUGGCAUUGACUCGGCAUAAAUGUACUUCAAUGGCUGUUCUGCUCCUGCUUUAAACAGCCACAUCUCAUCCUCCAGCGCAGAACUCGCUCCCUUCACAAUCUCAUGUGUCAAUGAUUUUGCAGCUUUACCCAGCGUCACAGUGAAGAAUUUCUUCCUCGUUUCAGGAUCCAAAUUCAGCCACCAAUCGACACAUCCCUUCUUCCUCCAAAAUACAUUGGCAGCCACACCCGCAGCAGUCACUUUGUCCUUCAAUUUAACCCCCUUUUUCUUACUAUUACUACAGUUCAGCCACGCCAGCCUCAAAGCAACCUCUAACCUAUUUGCCAGAAAAGCCUCAAUGCUAUAAUAACCUUUAGCUUUUAGCCACUCCAAUUCUACCCAAUCCGAUCCCAAUUCGCUCUCUUCUCCCCUUAAAAAUCCUCCACUGGACACCUUAUCCAUUGCCUCAACAAACUCGUCCACAUUUUCAACCAAGGAUUCGCUCACAGUCACCGAAUCUAAACACUUAAUCGAACAAGAACAUUCCUCGAUCUUCUCGCCUUCUCUGGAGCCGAAAAGCCGGGUGGAGUCGAAAAUCAAGCGUUCGGACUCGUUUGACUGGGCGGUUCGGGACAAGAGGCCAUGUGACUUCUUGUAGCAUAGGCUGGGGAGGUCCGUAGAGGGAAGGUCAGGAAGGAUGAUGAAACGGCCGUAGCCGUGUGUACGGACUUUUCCAAGCAUUUGAAUAAGGAGCUGGGUGAAUUUAUAAUCGACGGUGGUGAGAUAAGCCUGGCGUUGAUAAAUGGAGAGAGACGAAAACCAUUUGAGGAUAGAGGACCUGGGAUUGGGAUUGGGAUUAGGAUUGGGAGGAAGAGAGUGAGAAUGGUAGAGAGAGAUGUGAGCAGUGAGCGAGUCGAUGAGUUGGUUCUGAGUCAUGAACGAGUUGUUGAGACCGCUCAAAGGGGGUGGCUUGUGAGAUGAAGUAUCGGGGUUGAGUUUGGACAUUUUUGCCCUCUUCCUUUGCACAGAGAGAGAUAGAAGCGGGCCAAAGAGACCGCCGGAUGAGAUGACAGUAAAGGAGGCAGGCAAAGGAGAGAAUAUAAAACGCAGGAAAUGUGUUUGUUUCUCAGGAAAAUGCGGCUGGUGGGAAUUUGCAGCAGAUGUUCAAUGAUUAAUGAAUCCUUGUAGUCGAGCAGUAACAGCCGCCUACGACUCGUAAAUAAGCACCGAGCAUUAACGGUAAGACGCAUGGUUGGGCCGUUGGAGCAAGCAAAUGGCCCAAAUCGCCAAUCGGCGCCGUCGGUGAACGCUUCGAAAGGAUCAAACAAUUAAAACGUCGGGCCUCUUCCUCUUUUAGGUGUUCA
rnacentral:misc_RNA from 1 species